rnacentral:rRNA from 1 species
UACAGGGGGUGCUAGCGUUGUUCGGAAUCACUGGGCGUAAAGCGCACGUAGGCGGAUUGUUAAGUCAGGGGUGAAAUCCUGGAGCUCAACUCCAGAACUGCCUUUGAUACUGGCGAUCUCGAGUCCGGGAGAGGUGAGUGGAACUGCGAGUGUAGAGGUGAAAUUCGUAGAUAUUCGCAAGAACACCAGUGGCGAAGGCGGCUCACUGGCCCGGUACUGACGCUGAGGUGCGAAAGCGUGGGGAGCAAACAGG